rnacentral:rRNA from 1 species
UACGAAGGGGGCUAGCGUUGCUCGGAAUUACUGGGCGUAAAGGGAGCGUAGGCGGAUCGUUAAGUUAGAGGUGAAAGCCCAGGGCUCAACCCUGGAAUUGCCUUUAAAACUGGCGGUCUUGAGUAUGGUAGAGGUGUGUGGAACUCCGAGUGUAGAGGUGAAAUUCGUAGAUAUUCGGAAGAACACCAGUGGCGAAGGCGACACACUGGACCAUUACUGACGCUGAGGCUCGAAAGCGUGGGGAGCAAACAGG